CCUUUGUCUCUUUGCCCCUUUGAUGCUGGCAGCAAAAAGCUUUUUUUUUUACUUUUUUGUUGUAAUGUGCUCNAGGAUCCUUUGGACAAGGGAGGAUGCCCUUCUACUUUCAAAUCUACUCACUUUUUUAACACCUGUGCACCUUUAAAUAAAGGCAAAAGUCUUAUUUUGCUUGGGGGGGUGGGAUUCANUCUUUCUGGUUGGGUACUAUUAUUGCNUAUUGGUGUUAUGCCCUUGGCAGGUUUUUUAUAACUUGGCGGGUGUGGGUCCUUAANUUGAUCUGCUGAAGGAUCGACAUAUCCCAAAGUGGAAAAAGUCAACAAAGGGAUUUACAAUGCNCGUGCAAUGUAUGCAAUCCUUAAANAAUAUACCCCCCANNUGGAAUGUGGGUUUUGUUCUUUACAAUAUACAAACUCUAUAAUGUCUUGUAGAAUGAAAUGCUCACUAUGAGCAAAAUGUAUGCAAAUACAACUUUCAACAAUGGAUCUCUUGGCUCUCGCAUCGAUGAAGAACGCAGCGAAAUGCGAUAAGUAAUGUGAAUUGCAGAAUUCAGUGAAUCAUCGAAUCUUUGAACACACCUUGUGCUCCUUGGAUUACCUAUGGAGCAUACCUGUUUGAGUGUCAUAUUAAUCUCAGUUUGCUCAGGUUUUUUUAAGUAAAAAUUUGAGUGAAUUGGACUUGGAGGUUUCAAUGCUGGUCUCUUUUAGGAAUCAGCUCCUCUUAAAAACAUUAGCUGGAGCGAUGAAGCAAAAGGGAAAAGGUCCUCAUUAGCACUGGUCUUUAUUGCUAUGGUGUAAUAAUUGUUUCAUCAUGGUUUUGAUCAGUGUGCAUGACUUGGGGGCUACUUUUGUAGCAUUCUCUGCUUCCAAUUGUCGGGCUUUUUAUGCUUGACAAACUUGUUUUUCUCUUUUGGCCUCAAAUCAGGUAGGACUACCCGCUGAACUUAAGCAUAUCAAUAAGCGGAGGAAAAGAAACUAACAAGGAUUCCCCUAGUAACUGCGAGUGAAGCGGGAAAAGCUCAAAUUUAAAAUCUGGCAGCUCUGCUGUCCGAGUUGUAAUCUGUAGAAGCGUUUUCUGCAUUGGACCGUGUACAAGUCUCUUGGAAUAGAGUGUCAUAGAGGGUGAGAAUCCCGUUCAUGACAUGGACUACCAAUGCUUUGUGAUACGCUCUCAAAGAGUCGAGUUGUUUGGGAAUGCAGCUCAAAAUGGGUGGUAAAUUCCAUCUAAAGCUAAAUACAGGCGAGAGACCGAUAGCGAACAAGUACCGUGAGGGAAAGAUGAAAAGCACUUUGGAAAGAGAGUUAAACAGUAUGUGAAAUUGUUGAAAGGGAAACACUUGAAGUCAGUCGCAUCCUGCAGGACUCAGCCAUGCUUUUUAUGGGCUUGGUGCAUUUCCUGUGGGAUGGGUCAACAUCAGUUUUGGUCAGUGGAUAAAGGAUGGGGGAAUGUGGCACCUUUGGGUGUGUUAUAGCCCCCUUUCAUAUACAUUGACUGGGAUUGAGGACAGCAGCAUGCCCCUUGUAGGCCAGGACCUAUCAUGUUACAUGCUUAGGAUGUUGACAAAAUGGCUUUAAGUGACCCGUCUUGAAACACGGACCAAGGAGUCUAACAUGCCUGCAAGUGUUUGGGUGGAAAACCCUUGCGCAUAAUGAAAGUGAAAGUUGGGAACCUCCGUAAGGGGGUGCACCGAUGCCCAGCCCUGAAGUUUACUGACGGUGCUGUGGUAGAGCAUGUAUGUUGGGACCCGAAAGAUGGUGAACUAUGCCUGAAUAGGGUGAAGCCAGAGGAAACUCUGGUGGAAGCUCGUAGCGAUUCU
rnacentral:rRNA from 1 species